rnacentral:rRNA from 1 species
AUUGAACGCUGGCGGCAGGCCUAACACAUGCAAGUCGAACGGUAACAGGAAGAAGCUUGCUUCUUUGCUGACGAGUGGCGGACGGGUGAGUAAUGUCUGGGAAACUGCCUGAUGGAGGGGGAUAACUACUGGAAACGGUAGCUAAUACCGCAUAACGUCGCAAGACCAAAGAGGGGGACCUUCGGGCCUUUUGCCAUCGGAUGUGCCCAGAUGGGAUUAGCUAGUAGGUGGGGUAACGGCUCACCUAGGCGACGAUCCGUAGCUGGUCUGAGAGGAUGACCAGCCACACUGGAACUGAGACACGGUCCAGACUCCUACGGGAGGCAGCAGUGGGGAAUAUUGCGCAAUGGGCGCAAGCCUGAUGCAGCCAUGCCGCGUGUAUGAAGAAGGCCUUCGGGUUGUAAAGUACUUUCAGCGGGGAGGAAGGGAGUAAAGUUAAUACCUUUGCUCAUUGACGUUACCCGCAGAAGAAGCACCGGCUAACUCCGUG